GCUGGCGGCAGGCCUAACACAUGCAAGUCGGGCGGUAACAGGGAGUGCUUGCACUUCGCUGACGAGCGGCGGACGGGUGAGUAAUGCAUAGGAAUCUGCCUGGUAGUGGGGGAUAGCCCAGAGAAAUUUGGAUUAAUACCGCAUACGCCCUACGGGGAAAGCAGGGGGGACUCUUCGGAGCCUUGCGCUAUCAGAUGAGCCUAUGUCGGAUUAGCUUGUUGGUGAGGUAACGGCUCACCAAGGCGACGAUCCGUAGCUGGUCUAAGAGGAUGAUCAGCCACACUGGGACUGAGACACGGCCCAGACUCCUACGGGAGGCAGCAGUGGGGAAUAUUGGACAAUGGGCGCAAGCCUGAUCCAGCCAUGCCGCGUGUGUGAAGAAGGCCUUCGGGUUGUAAAGCACUUUCAGCGAGGAGGAAAGGGGUGUUGCUAAUAUCAACGCCCUGUGACGUUACUCGCAGAAGAAGCACCGGCUAACUCCGUG
rnacentral:rRNA from 1 species